rnacentral:rRNA from 1 species
GUGAGUAACGCGUGGAUAAUCUGCCCUGAAGAUCGGGAUAACAGUUGGAAACGACUGCUAAUACCGUAUAAUCUACAUAUUUAACUUUAUGUGGGAAAGGUGGCCUCUAUUUAUAAGCUACCGCUUUUGGAUGAGUCCGCGUCUCAUUAGCUUGUUGGUAGGGUAAUGGCCUACCAAGGCAACGAUGAGUAGCUGGUCUGAGAGGAUGAUCAGCCACACUGGGACUGAAACACGGCCCAGACUCCUACGGGAGGCAGCAGUGGGGAAUAUUGCGCAAUGGGGGAAACCCUGACGCAGCGACGCCGCGUGUAGGAAGAAGGCCUUCGGGUCGUAAACUACUGUCAAGAGGGAAGAAACUGUUAGGCAUUAAUACGGCCUUUCACUGACGGUACCUCUAGAGGAAGCACCGGCUAACUCCGUGCCAGCAGCCGCGGUAAUACGGAGGGUGCGAGCGUUAAUCGGAAUCACUGGGCGUAAAGCGUGCGUAGGCGGCGCAACAAGUCAGGCGUGAAAGCCCUCGGCUCAACCGAGGAAUUGCGCUUGAAACUGUUGUGCUAGAGUCUCGGAGAGGUUGGCGGAAUUCCAGGUGUAGGAGUGAAAUCCGUAGAUAUCUGGAGGAACACCGGUGGGCGAAGGCGGCCAACUGGACGAGUUACUGACGCUGAGGUACGAAAGCGUGGGGAGCAAACAGGAUUAGAUACCCUGG